rnacentral:rRNA from 1 species
UAGGGAAUCUUCCGCAAUGGGCGAAAGCCUGACGGAGCAACGCCGCGUGAGUGAUGAAGGUCUUCGGAUCGUAAAGCUCUGUUAUUAGGGAAGAACAAAUGUGUAAGUAACUAUGCACGUCUUGACGGUACCUAAUCAGAAAGCCACGGCUAACUACGUGCCAGCAGCCGCGGUAAUACGUAGGUGGCAAGCGUUAUCCGGAAUUAUUGGGCGUAAAGCGCGCGUAGGCGGUUUUUUAAGUCUGAUGUGAAAGCCCACGGCUCAACCGUGGAGGGUCAUUGGAAACUGGAAAACUUGAGUGCAGAAGAGGAAAGUGGAAUUCCAUGUGUAGCGGUGAAAUGCGCAGAGAUAUGGAGGAACACCAGUGGCGAAGGCGACUUUCUGGUCUGUAACUGACGCUGAUGUGCGAAAGCGUGGGGAUCAAACAGG